rnacentral:rRNA from 1 species
UACGCAGGAUGCGAGCGUUAUCCGGAUUUAUUGGGUUUAAAGGGUGCGUAGGCGGGAUGCCAAGUCAGCGGUAAAAAUGCGGUGCUCAACGCCGUCGAGCCGUUGAAACUGGCGUUCUUGAGUGGGCGAGAAGUAUGCGGAAUGCGUGGUGUAGCGGUGAAAUGCAUAGAUAUCACGCAGAACUCCGAUUGCGAAGGCAGCAUACCGGCGCCCUACUGACGCUGAGGCACGAAAGCGUGGGUAUCGAACAGG